GACGAACGCUGGCGGCGUGCUUAACACAUGCAAGUCGAACGGAAAGGCCUGCUUUCCCUUGUGGAUUGCGGGUACUCGAGUGGCGAACGGGUGAGUAACACGUGAGUGAUCUGCCCCCAACUUGGGUAUAAGCCUGGGAAACUGGGUCUAAUUCCCGAUAGGACUGCAGGGUGGUGCCUGUGGUGGACAACGAUUUUCUAGUGGUUGGGGUUGAGCAGGCGGCCUAUCAGCUUGUUGGUGAGGUGAUGGCCUACCAAGGCGGGGACGGGUAGCCGGCCGGAGAGGGUGGACGGGGACAUUGGGACAGGGACACGGCUCAGACGCCUGGGAGAGGCAGGAGAGGGGAGGAAUGCACAGUGGGCGGAAGCCAGAUGCAGCGAGGCCGCGUGGGAGAUGACGGGCUUGGGGUUGUAAACUCCUUGCGAGCGAGAGCAAUCCACCUGGAUGGAACGGUGGUGACGGUAGUGGUAGAAGAAGCACCGGCUAACUACGUG
rnacentral:rRNA from 1 species